GUCGACCUUACCCCUACCUUCAAUAGAUAGAGAGCUUCAAUGGAAACAAAUAAACAUCAAGAACUUAUAAUUCUUCAUCAAACAAAACAAACUGACAGAAUAAUAAUAUUUGUCUAAUAUCAAAUAACUGGAUAUCAGUUUCAGAAACAUGUAGUAAUUUAUUAAUAAUGGGACAAACUACAAUAAAACGAAGCCAGCAUUAACAAGUUCGAAAUCCAUCCACAUUGUUGAGGGCUCAACCUUGGCAACUACUCGAUUUCCAACAGCACUUUUAUGUCCCUCUCCAUUGAGAGAGGAGAUGUGGUAGGAUAAUAGCGAUCAGAAACUUGGCCAUUCUUAUCAACGAGGAACUUAGCGAAAUUCCACUGAAUAUUAUCUCCAAGUAAUCCCCACUUGGCUGAUUUCAAGAACUUAUAAAGAGGAGAUGUGUUUUCGCCGUUCACUUCAAUCUUGUCAAAGAUGGGGAACUCUGACUUGAAACGUGUACAAGCAAAUUCUACGAUCUCAUCGUUGCUCCCUGGUUCUUGUGCACCAAAUUGAUUGCAAGGAAAUGCCAAAAUUUCCAGGCCUUGAUCUUUGUACUUCUCA
rnacentral:misc_RNA from 1 species